rnacentral:misc_RNA from 1 species
CCUAUCUCGCGAUGGCCGGACCCAAAGCCGCCGCCUGUCCUUGCGCAACAAACUGUCCCAGAACUUGAGAGGGAUGCGUUUUUCUGAUCAAUCCAGCAGAACACAUCAGGUCCAUAGAUGCCGCGAGAGUUUUGCAGCCGCGUUACGCAGCGGAAUGGGCGAGAGAGAUAUGGCCGCCAUCGCGCUUCUUUAUCCUCUUGGC